CUGAAUUCCUUUUUUUAUUGGACAGUGACUGGCUCGGUGCCACCCUCAGAGCUUUGAAACAUAAUUGGACAACAGGGAUGUCAGUCGGAGAGAGCACUUGGAGGAACUGCGUUUGGGAAAGGGGCCGAGUUCCUGUGCGGAAGCACGUGGGCUGUCUUUGGCUGUCCUUGGGCUCUCUCUUUAGAUAGGACCUUGAGCUAGGUGAGGAAGGGAAAAAAAAGAGGCGAAUAAAGAGAUGAAUACAGAGGGAAGAACCAGUUUUCAUGGCCUUGGAUGGGAGUGGAGGCAGGGCAGAGCAGGUGCUGUCCUCCGGGUGGGAUAUUUAGUGGUGACAUACCCGGUGGCUCAGAUGGUAAAGCAUCUGCCUACAAUGUGGGAGACCUGGNNNNNNNNNNUGGGUUGGAAAGAUCUCCUGGAGAAGAAAAUGGCAACCCACUCCAGUAUUGCCUCGAAAAUCCCAUGGACGGAGGAACCUGGUAGGCUACAGUCCAUGGGGUCUGGGUCGGACACGACUGAGCAACAUUUAUUUACAUCCUUCACUAUUCCUGAAGAGAUUACCGACUAUUAUCAAGUAUGA
rnacentral:lncRNA from 1 species